GUAAGGAUGCCAGAUGGUUAUGGGGUUGAUUUAGGUUUAAUUUAUGAUUGUUUUAUGUCUCCUUACU
rnacentral:tRNA from 1 species